rnacentral:rRNA from 1 species
UACGUAGGGGGCAAGCGUUGUCCGGAAUCAUUGGGCGUAAAGAGCGUGUAGGCGGCCCGGUAAGUCCGCUGUGAAAGUCCAGGGCUCAACCCUGGGAUGCCGGUGGAUACUGCCGGGCUAGAGUCCGGAAGAGGCGAGUGGAAUUCCUGGUGUAGCGGUGGAAUGCGCAGAUAUCAGGAGGAACACCAAUAGCGAAGGCAGCUCGCUGGGACGGUACUGACGCUGAGGCGCGAAAGCGUGGGGAGCAAACAGG